rnacentral:piRNA from 1 species
UACUCUUGAGCAGAAAGAUCAGCCACACAU